AGAAACGCUGGCGGUGCGCCUAACACAUGCAAGUCGAGCGCGAAAGUCCCUUCGGGGGCGAGUAGAGCGGCGGACGGUGAGUAAUACAUGGGUAAUCUACCCCGAGCUCGGGAUAACCCCGCGAAAGCGGGGCUUAAUACCUGAUAAGACCACAUAACACAAGUUGUGCGGUAAAAGGUGGCUUGAAUUUUAUUCUAGCUAUCACUUGAGGAUGAGUCCAUGGCCUAUCAGCUUGUUGGUGAGGUAAGAGCUUACCAAGGCUAUGACGGGUAGCUGGUCUGAGAGGACGACCAGCCACACUGGGACUGAGACACGGCCCAGACUCCUACGGGAGGCAGCAGUGGGGAAUAUUGGGCAAUGGGCGAAAGCCUGACCCAGCGACACCGCGUGGGUGAUGAAAGCCUUCGGGUUGUAAAGCCCUUUCGUGCGGAAAGAACUGUUCCGCGGUUAAUACCCGCGGAAUUUGACGGUACCGCAGGAAGAAGCACCGGCUAACUCCGUG
rnacentral:rRNA from 1 species